AAGAAGCUCAUGUCUAUAUUGCUACACUUUAUACUAGAUCUUUAAAAUAUUCAAUGAAUGAAAUAUGCGUAUUUAAUUGUUUGGACUCUUUAGACGUGCAUUCAGUUAAUAAUAGACUAGGAAAGACACCAUGUUAUUUCUCUUUUCUCUCUCUAAAAUAUUUUCUUUCCCUUCUCUCUACAAAAAAAACUCUAAAACCCUAGAUCUACUCUUGCUUGUCGGCGGCCUGAGUUCGUCGUCCAACUCGGGUCGCCGGCAAGCUUCUCUGUUCGAAGCUUAGGGCCUGCAUCCUCGUAGUACGGUAGUUUCUCUCGGUGGAGAAGUCAAAAGAGGAGUCAAGCAUCACUUCUACCUCCUCUUAGUUCGUCGCCCAUUCUCCUCGAUUUCUAGUUCGUGGCACCGGGGUAUCCAAGCAAAGCCCUGUUUUGGAAUCGGAGGUUAUUAUUCGGGUCAAGGUCACAUCUUGGGCGCCUCUUUCAGCCCAUCUCUAACCGGCACCACCACGUUCGUCGGUAAAGGUACCUUAAGGAGACUCCUAAUGGUAACUGGCCCAACAUCAGUGCCAUCUUCUAUGAAGGAAACUCAGCCACCAAUUGCCUUGGUAAGACAUUGAUCAUCAUGUAAAGGGUGUUCGCAAGACAUUUCCAACAACCACGGGGCAAUUCGAGAAGAGAUGGUUACUUUAGUAUAUGUAAUGGUCUUUAAAGACCUUAGUGUAGCUUUACUUUGUAGUAUGUAGUUGUGUUAUAACUCUUUAUUUUAUGCAAAAUUCAGCCUAUGUUAAAAAUAAAAAAUAAAAGAAAGAAAGACACCAUGUUUUAUCGUGUUGCUUGGA